rnacentral:rRNA from 1 species
UACGUAGGGUGCAAGCGUUAAUCGGAAUUACUGGGCGUAAAGCGUGCGCAGGCGGUUGUGCAAGACAGAUGUGAAAUCCCCGGGCUCAACCUGGGAACUGCAUUGUGACUGCACGGCUAGAGUGUGUCAGAGGGGGGUAGAAUUCCACGUGUAGCAGUGAAAUGCGUAGAUAUGUGGAGGAAUACCGAUGGCGAAGGCAGCCCCCUGGGAUGACACUGACGCUCAUGCACGAAAGCGUGGGGAGCAAACAGG